GGGUGGUAAUGCCGGAUGCUCCGGUUGGAUGCAUGUCCUUCCGGGAAAGAUUCUAUCGGUAUGGGAUGGGGUCGCGUCCUAUCAGCUUGAUGGCGGGGUAACGGCCCACCAUGGCUUCGACGGGUAGCCGGCCUGAGAGGGCGACCGGCCACAUUGGGACUGAGAUACGGCCCAGACUCCUACGGGAGGCAGCAGUGGGGAAUAUUGCACAAUGGGCGCAAGCCUGAUGCAGCGACGCCGCGUGCGGGAUGGAGGCCUUCGGGUUGUAAACCGCUUUUGAUCGGGAGCAAGCCCUUCGGGGUGAGUGUACCUUUCGAAUAAGCACCGGCUAACUACGUGCCAGCAGCCGCGGUAAUACGUAGGGUGCAAGCGUUAUCCGGAAUUAUUGGGCGUAAAGGGCUCGUAGGCGGUUCGUCGCGUCCGGUGUGAAAGCCCAUCGCUUAACGGUGGGUCUGCGCCGGGUACGGGCGGGCUGGAGUGCGGUAGGGGAGACUGGAAUUCCCGGUGUAACGGUGGAAUGUGUAGAUAUC
rnacentral:rRNA from 1 species